CCUACGGGAGGCAGCAGUGGGGAAUAUUGGACAAUGGGGGGAAGCCUGAUGCAGCCAUGCCGCGUGCAUGAAGAAGGCCUUCGGGUUGUAAACCGCUUUUGUCAGAGACGAAAAGGGACGUACGAAUAAUACGUUCCGCUGACGGUAUCUGAAGAAUAAGCACCGGCUAACUACGUGCCAGCAGCCGCGGUAAUACGUAGGGUGCAAGCGUUAAUCGGAAUUACUGGGCGUAAAGGGUGCGCAGGCGGCUAUGCAAGACAGAUGUGAAAUCCCCGGGCUUAACCUGGGAACUGCAUUUGUGACUGCAUGGCUAGAGUUUGUCAGAGGAGGGUGGAAUUCCGCGUGUAGCAGUGAAAUGCGUAGAUAUGCGGAAGAACACCAAUGGCGAAGGCAGCCCUCUGGGACAUGACUGACGCUCAUGCACGAAAGCGUGGGGAGCAAACAGGAUUAGAUACCCUGGUAGUC
rnacentral:rRNA from 1 species